AAGUGGACAGACAAACAGACAUAAAUCCCUAUCACUAUUUACCCUCCCACGUCUCAUGCAAAUAUAAUUAUGAUAUUUCAAACACAUUUUUGAAAGUCACAUUGCUGGUUUAUUAUAGGGAAAUUUUUGAAUGUUUCUGCAAAGUGGCCAGGUUCGAACCACGACUCUUUUAUUUUCCGGAGUUCGGACAUCGGCAUUCAUUUAGAAGGAAACCAUCGGGGUAUUGAUGUGGACGGGGUUCUUUUGGGAGAUAGUGGGUAUGCCUGCAGUAGGUACUUACUUACGCCAUACCUGCGGCCUAGUACAAGAGCACAAAUAAAGUACAAUGAUGCUCAUGCAAAAACUAGGGGUGUCGUGGAAAGGUGUUUUGGUUGGUGGAAGAGGCGUUUUAUAGUGCUUCAUGAAGAAAAUAAAUGUGAACCAGGGCGGGUUGCAAAGAUAGCGGUGGCUUGUGCUGUACUGCACAAUAUAGCUCUUCAGAGACAUGAGCCAAUGGAAGAUGAUAUUAAUGGCCCAGGAGACAAUGGGGGAAAUGACGGAGCAGUGCAGGGUCCCAUCAAUGAUAAUGUCAGGAGAUUUAUCACAGAGCAUUAUUUCAACUGAGUGUUCUCAAAAUUUGAUGAAAUUUUAUUAAUGCAGCUAAAAACUGAAUAUUUAGAAAUGUCAACAGUUUUUCAAACUAAGAAAUACAACACAGAGAAAUUUCAUUUUUAAAAAUAUAAAUCAAGAACAAGAUGCCUAUGGACCACAAAGCUCACCAAAGACACUCUGACCUUAUUCUUAGUUUAUCAGCAGACCCCCCCC